UACGUAGGGUGCAAGCGUUGUCCGGAAUUAUUGGGCGUAAAGAGCUCGUAGGCGGUCUGUCGCGUCGGCUGUGAAAACCCGGAGCUCAACUCCGGGCCUGCAGUCGAUACGGGCAGACUGGAGUUCGGCAGGGGAGACUGGAAUUCCUGGUGUAGCGGUGAAAUGCGCAGAUAUCAGGAAGAACACCCGUGGCGAAGGCGGCUCACUGGCCCGAUACUGACGCUGAGGCACGAAAGCGUGGGGAGCAAACAGG
rnacentral:rRNA from 1 species